rnacentral:rRNA from 1 species
ACGGAAGGCAGCAGUGGGGAAUAUUGCACAAUGGGCGAAAGCCUGAUGCAGCGACGCCGCGUGAGCGAUGAAGUAUUUCGGUAUGUAAAGCUCUAUCAGCAGGGAAGAACAAUGACGGUACCUGACUAAGAAGCACCGGCUAAAUACGUGCCAGCAGCCGCGGUAAUACGUAUGGUGCAAGCGUUAUCCGGAUUUACUGGGUGUAAAGGGAGCGCAGGCGGUUUGGCAAGUCUGAAGUGAAAGCCCGUGGCUCAACCGCGGGACUGCUUUGGAAACUGUCAAACUUGAGUAUCGGAGAGGCAAGUGGAAUUCCUAGUGUAGCGGUGAAAUGCGUAGAUAUUAGGAGGAACACCAGCGGCGAAGGCGGCUUGCUGGACGAUAACUGACGCUGAGGCUCGAAAGCGUGGGGAGCAAACAGGAUUAGAUACCCUGGUA